rnacentral:rRNA from 1 species
AGAGUUUGAUCCUGGCUCAGGACGAACGCUGGCGGCGUGCUUAACACAUGCAAGUCGAACGGAAAGGCCUUGCUUGCAAGGUACUCGAGUGGCGAACGGGUGAGUAACACGUGGGUGACCUGCCCUGCACUUUGGGAUAAGCCUGGGAAACUGGGUCUAAUACCAGAUAGGACCAUGAUGUAGUGAUUGUGGUGGAAAGUUUUUUCGGUGUGGGAUGGGCCCGCGGCCUAUCAGCUUGUUGGUGGGGUAAUGGCCUACCAAGGCGGCGACAGUAAGCCUGAGAGGGUGGACGGCCACAUUGGGACUGAGAUACGGCCCAGACUCCUACGGGAGGCAGCAGUGGGGAAUAUUGCACAAUGGGCGCAAGCCUGAUGCAGCGACGCCGCGUGGGGGAUGACGGCCUUCGGGUUGUAAACCUCUUUCGCAAGGGACGAAGCGUUUUGUGACGGUACCUUGAGAAGAAGCACCGGCUAACUACGUGCCAGCAGCCGCGGUAAUACGUAGGGUGCGAGCGUUGUCCGGAAUUACUGGGCGUAAAGAGCUCGUAGGUGGUUUGUCGCGUCGUCUGUGAAAUUCCGGGGCUUAACUCCGGGCGUGCAGGCGAUACGGGCAUAACUUGAGUGCUGUAGGGGAGACUGGAAUUCCUGGUGUAGCGGUGGAAUGCGCAGAUAUCAGGAGGAACACCGAUGGCGAAGGCAGGUCUCUGGGCAGUAACUGACGCUGAGGAGCGAAAGCAUGGGGAGCGAACAGGAUUAGAUACCCUGGUAGUCCAUGCCGUAAACGGUGGGCGCUAGGUGUAGGGGUCUUCCACGACUUCUGUGCCGUAGCUAACGCAUUAAGCGCCCCGCCUGGGGAGUACGGCCGCAAGGCUAAAACUCAAAGGAAUUGACGGGGGCCCGCACAAGCGGCGGAGCAUGUGGAUUAAUUCGAUGCAACGCGAAGAACCUUACCUGGGCUUGACAUACACCAGAUCGCUGCAGAGAUGUAGUUUCCCUUGUGGUUGGUGUACAGGUGGUGCAUGGUUGUCGUCAGCUCGUGUCGUGAGAUGUUGGGUUAAGUCCCGCAACGAGCGCAACCCUUGUCUUAUGUUGCCAGCACGUGAUGGUGGGGACUCAUGAGAGACUGCCGGGGUGAACUCGGAGGAAGGUGGGGAUGACGUCAAAUCAUCAUGCCCCUUAUGUCCAGGGCUUCACACAUGCUACAAUGGUCGGUACAACGCGCAGCGAACCUGUGAGGGUGAGCGAAUCGCUGAAAGCCGGCCUCAGUUCGGAUUGGGGUCUGCAACUCGACCCCAUGAAGUCGGAGUCGCUAGUAAUCGCAGAUCAGCAACGCUGCGGUGAAUACGUUCCCGGGCCUUGUACACACCGCCCGUCACGUCAUGAAAGUUGGUAACACCCGAAGCCCAUGGCCCAACCACCGUGUGUGGGGGGAGUGGUCGAAGGUGGGAUCGGCGAUUGGGACGAAGUCGUAACAAGGUAGCCGUACCGGAAGGUGCGGCUGGAUCACCU